rnacentral:rRNA from 1 species
AUUGAACGUUGGCGGCAUGCCUUACACAUGCAAGUCGAACGGUAACAGGUCUUCGGAUGCUGACGAGUGGCGAACGGGUGAGUAAUACAUCGGAACGUGCCUAGUAGUGGGGGAUAACUACUCGAAAGAGUGGCUAAUACCGCAUGAGAUCUACGGAUGAAAGCAGGGGAUCGCAAGACCUUGUGCUACUAGAGCGGCCGAUGGCAGAUUCGGUAGUUGGUGGGGUAAAAGCUUACCAAGCCGACGAUCUGUAGCCGGUCUGAGAGGACGAUCAGCCACACUGGGACUGGGACACGGCCCAGAAUCCUACAGGAGGCAGCAGUGGGGAAUUUUGGACAAUGGGCGCAAGCCUGAUCCAGCAAUGCCGCGUGCAGGAUGAAGGCCUUCGGGUUGUAAACUGCUUUUGUACGGAACGAAAAGCCCUGGGUUAAUACCCUGGGGUCAUGACGGUACCGUAAGAAUAAGCACCGGCUAACUACGUGCCAGCCGCCGCGGUAAAAC